rnacentral:misc_RNA from 1 species
GUACGGAAAGAUAAGAGGAAGCGAAAGAAAGCAAAGCAUUUGGCAGAGCCUUUUUUCGUUGAUUUAUCUAAACCAAAAGAGCAUGUUCAGAAUGACAGCCAUUGUACUGUUGAUUUAAAUGUUUCACCUUCAGAGCAUCGAUCUGAAAAUAACAGUGAAGAUUUGGAUUCCGAAGUUCUACAAGGUUCGGAUGUGACCAACCGCUUGCAAUCUAAUGAAAUAUGCUGCUCCGAAACAUCAUUUUUACAUGAUAAUCCUCACAAGAGCGUAGAUUGUAGGUAGAGAUGGCGGAGGACUCUGACCAUUCAUUUGAAUUAACAAGUUCUAUCAUGAGAAGCUGUG